ensembl:lncRNA
CAAACAUUUAUGAGAGCUUUUGAGCACAUGGUGGAGAGUCAAGCUCACAGUGCUAAGAUUUGUUUAUAUUUUCUCGUGCAAUACACUAGAGGCCAUCCCAGAGAAAUGGUCCGAAGCUGUCAGUAUAUGCCUGCUGAGUAUGGAUAUGCUAAAGCUAAAUCUUUGCUCCAAGAGAACUUCGCUGAAAAUUGCUGCUGCCUACAUUGAAAGGGUCAGUAAAUGGCCACCUAUAAAAUCUGAUGAUGUGAAGGCUUUGCAGGAAAAUGGGUUUUUAUUAAGGCAAUGUUGUAAUGCAAUGGGAGAUGUUGAGUCCUUGCAUGAGUUGGAUGUCUCUGCUAAUAUGCAAGCAGUUAUAAAAAAAAAAAAAAAAAGUUACCCUAUAAGCUCAGGGAUAAAUGGAGGAAUGUUGUCUGCGAUCUGCAGGAGAGGUUUCAACGUAAAGUGGUUUUUAGCGAUGUUGAGUUUGUUGAAAGGCAAGUUAAGAUCGCAAGUGACCCAUUGUUUGGAGAUAUACAUGAUCCUCCGACAGCCACCAGAAAAGAGGCGAGGUAAGUCUCAGUUUUACCCUAAGGCUAAGCGGAGUAGUUUUGCUACUACAUGCUCUGUCCAUAAUACCCGUUAGAGUGAAGGCCAAGAAAGGUAAUCAGUCACUGAUAACCUAUGCUUUCCUAGAUCCUGGGAGCCCAGCUUCAUUUUGUACUGAAGGGCUCAUGAAUAGGCUGAAUCUUUCAGGAAGGAAAACUGGCAUUCUUUUGCGGACAAUGGGUCAGGAGAAAAUGGUCAGUAGUUAUGUUGUUUCAGAUUUUGAAGUAGCUGGUUUGGAUUUAGAUCACUACUGUGACUUGCCUGACUUAUUUACUCAGAAAAGCAUGCCUGUUCAUCAAUGUAAUAUUCCUCGACAGGAAGAUCUCGAUAGAUGGCCACAUUUGCGCUAUAUUAAGCAGGGCUCUAGACUAACUUUUUGCCAUGGGCGUACCGGUACAAAAGUUAGGCGCACACAAAUUUUAUAAUUGAUAUAAUAUGUGUUUUUCUGGAUACACUGUGCUUUUUCAGCAUUCAAAGAUUGAUGACACCGUGUCAGAGCACUGGCUAUGAAUUUCAGAAGGAUCAGGCCUUAACAGAAAAGUUAGCAAUAGUUCUUUUCCUAUUACAGCUACAUCCACUUCUGUCCUGCCUAGGCUGCUCACUAGGGCUGGGUAUCAUCACUG